CGCGCCAUCUCCUUACGUCUUAACCCAUCCCCAUUCUUUCGCCUGCUUACGUCUGGAUUGUGUAAUGGCCCCUGACAAAGUCCGUCCACACCAACGGAACGAGGUGCUAAUCGAUGGCGUCCUUUACGACUGCACCGACUUCCGGCAUCCAGGCGGCAGCAUUCUGAAAUACUACCUCGGCAGCGGCGACGCCACCGAGACGUACCAGCAGUUCCACUUGAAGCUGCCUAGGGCGGACAAGUAUCUCAAGCGGCUGCCCAAUCGCCCGGCGCCGCCACAGCACAGCGUCGACGUGGAUGAGCAGAAGCGAUUGGCGAAGCUCUCGCGAGACUUCAAGGCGCUGCAUGAUGCGUGCGUGGAGGAGGGCCUUUUUAACGCCAGCUGGCCGCACAUCGUCUACCGGUUCUCUGAGCUGAUCCUGAUGCACGCCAUCGGUCUUUACAUGCUCUUCCGUCUUCCGAUGCUGUGGCCCAUCGCGCUGGUGAUCCUUGGAGUGGCGGAGGGGCGCUGUGGCUGGUGGAUGCACGAGGCCGGGCACUACAGCGUCACGGGCAUUCCGUGGUUGGACAUUAAAAUACAGGAGGUUCUCUACGGACUCGGCGAUGGAAUGAGCGCGUCGUGGUGGCGGUCGCAGCAUAACAAGCAUCACGCCACUCCGCAGAAGCACCGGCAUGACGUGGACCUUGAGACGCUGCCUCUCGUUGCCUUCAACAAGAUCAUCGCGCUCCGCGGCAAGAGGAACGCGAACAUUCGCCGCUGGAUCUCCCUGCAGAUGUUCCUCUUCGGCCCCGUCACCUGCUCCCUUGUCGCCCUAUACUGGCAGCUCUUCCUCCACGUCCGCCACGCCAUGCGCACUCAGCGUUACACAGAGGGUGUUGCCAUCCUGUGCCGCUGGAUCGCGGUCGGCGUUAUCUGUCACAAGCUGCAGGUCUCGUUCUGGCAAGGCCUCGGCGGUGUUCUCUUCUCCCAGGCCUUCAGCGCCGCCUACAUCUUCAUCAACUUCGCCCUCAACCACUCUCACCUGCCGAUGCUUCCGGAGGAUGAACACGCGCACUUCGUCGAGUACGCGGCCAUCUACACCAUGAACGUGACACCGUCGUGGUUCGUGACGUGGUUCAUGGGCUACCUUAACUACCAGGUGGAGCACCACCUGUUCCCUACCAUGCCACAGUUCCGCUUCGUCCAACUGGCGCCGCGAGUGCGGAAACUUUUCGAGGAGAACGGCCUGAAGUACGAUUCGCGUCCGUACAUGAAGUCGCUCCAGAAAACUUUCAAGAACCUAGGUGACGUGGCCGAGUUCAUCGUUGCUGGGAACUAAGACUCCCGAGGGCGAAGCAGCGGUGCCACGUGAAGGCAGGAGGAGGAGAGCGGGUAUUGUGUGCGUGUGAGGAGAGAUGCACGCCGCCGAUGCCUAUCGUUAAUCAUGCAGCAGGGGAUUUGCCUCGUUGUUGUUGUUCCGAGGGAGGAAUUGCUUUGUUUGUGCGGGUCGGUGCUCUUCCUGCUACUCCUUCCUGCCCGAGCUAGUCUUUAACUCGGUCUCCCCCUCCCCUCCCCUCCCCCUCCGGCGGUGACGCCCCCUCGUCAUAGGAUCUCGUCGCUCCCUCUUCCCGCGCGUUGAUUUUCUGAUGCCAAGAUGCUCGCGCAAGAGCUGCGUAUUCACAUAUGCAUUUGAGCGGCUUUGCCGCCCCCUUUUCAGGUGUGCCUUGUUCAUGCACGCUGCCGUUGCUCUUGGUGUGGGCGGCUCGGCGUCUGCGCGUGCUGGUGGCUCCUCCCGCCCCCUCCAGUUUCACUCGUUUCUUUGGCGCCCUCUGAAGCUUUCCUCACGAGGCCCCCCAUCCGUUCCUAAUCCCCCUGGGUCGCCGUCGUUGCAUUCCCACCCGCCGUCUGUUUCCCCGUGCUGGCUUAGUCACCGAACUGCACUGUAAAUGCGGACUUGGGCUCUCUCGGUGUGCACGUGUCUGUGCGCUCGCUCGUUUCUUUCUCUCAGUCUGUUGCUCAACCGUUUCGCACUGUUGUUGUGGUGAUCGCGGGCAACCUCGGCGGUGCGUGAGCGUGGUGCAUGCGGUAAGGCACUCGCAUGAAGGAGCACGCAAUGAAGUGCGAGGAGAGCGAAAGAGGCUCAUUGAUUCGCAAGCGACGCGGUCGCACUAGCCGCUCCCUCUGCUCGAGCUCCUCGACACAGGGAGGGAGCAUGAUGUGCAGAGGGCAGAGACAAGUUUGUGUUUUAGCCCGAGCAGUGCAGAUAUAGCAUAAAGAGCGAUAGAGGCGGAAGAGGGCUCGGUGGCAGAGAGAGGCCAAUGCUGCCGUUAGACGUGGAACAGCGCCUGGCCUCUCGUCCUUGCGGUUGCACGUGUGAUAGUACGCAAACCCAUACGUAGGCGCACACAUGGUAAGACACUCUGGCAGAAGCACAUGUGCACACUUGUGGCAGAUAUGCAGUGACACCUGUAAACGAGGUGGUUGGGGUGGGGGGUGGGGGGGGGAGGGGUGCUUCUUCACCUCCUAGCCUUUCGGCCCUCCUCGGCGGUGGCGGUUUGCCACGCCAGAUUGGCUCUCUACAUUGCUCUCUC
rnacentral:misc_RNA from 1 species